rnacentral:rRNA from 1 species
UACGUAGGCAGCAAGCGUUGUUCGGAUUUACUGGGCGUAAAGGGCGCGUAGGCGGCGCAACAAGUCACUUGUGAAAUCUCCGGGCUUAACUCGGAACGGUCAAGUGAUACUGUUGUGCUAGAGUGCGGAAGGGGCAACUGGAAUUCUCGGUGUAGCGGUGAAAUGCGUAGAUAUCGAGAGGAACACCUGCGGCGAAGGCGGGUUGCUGGGCCGACACUGACGCUGAUGCGCGAAAGCCAGGGGAGCGAACGGG